UUGGCCACCUGGCUCUGAGAACUGAAUUCCAUAGGCUGUGAGCUCUAGCAAAUGCCCUAGGGACUCAGUUCUGGUGCCCGGCUGUGCUAU
rnacentral:pre_miRNA from 1 species